GGAAGUUUGUCGGCUUAGACCUGGUGUCAUUCCAUCAGUGUUAAACUUCCCGGCUCAUCUUGGAAGAGUACGUGCCAGAAAGACCACGACCAAGCAGCCUUGAGAUCUUAGACAGCGUCUCCCUCAGCCACCAAGCACUGGAACACAUCUCCAAAGUUCUGCCGGGCCAGCUCAGCUUCCCCUCAGAAGAAGUUCCACCAGAUGAAGGAGCCUUUUGAGAGGCAGCUGGCAUCGUGAUUUGACUGUACUUUGGUCUGUUCCAAUCCAGCUUCAGCUCCAGAGACGGCAGGCGGGACGAGUCAACGGAGGCCUGGUGGACGAAGACCAAAGAACUACAGACUCUUCACAACCUGCUCAAACUCUUGGUACAGGACCUCACCACAUGGGUCAAGAAGGUUUCUGUCUCAUUUCUACUCUGAAGCUCACCUUCUCCUGCUCAAACUGCUGACAAAUGUUUCUGCUG
ensembl:lncRNA